GGCUCGGUGGUGGAUGGAUGGAACCACGCCUGCAGAAAAUUCCAAUGCAUAUGCAAGACAAUUCAGCAGGAGGCAAGCAGGAGGAGCGUGUUCGAAUCGCGCCUGAGCCC